GAUGAACGCUGGCGGCGUGCCUAAUACAUGCAAGUCGAGCGAACAGACGAGGAGCUUGCUCCUCUGACGUUAGCGGCGGACGGGUGAGUAACACGUGGAUAACCUACCUAUAAGACUGGGAUAACUUCGGGAAACCGGAGCUAAUACCGGAUAAUAUAUUGAACCGCAUGGUUCAAUAGUGAAAGACGGUUUUGCUGUCACUUAUAGAUGGAUCCGCGCCGCAUUAGCUAGUAGGUAAGGUAACGGCUUACCAAGGCAACGAUGCGUAGCCGACCUGAGAGGGUGAUCGGCCACACUGGAGCUGAGACACGGUCCAGACUCCUACGGGAGGCAGCAGUAGGGAAUCUUCCGCAAUGGGCGAAAGCUUGACGGAGCAACGCCGCGUGAGUGAUGAAGGUCUUCGGAUCGUAAAACUCUGUUAUUAGGGAAGAACAAAUGUGUAAGUAGCUAUGCACGUCUUGACGGUACCUAAUCAGAAAGCCACGGCUAACUACGUG
rnacentral:rRNA from 1 species